rnacentral:lncRNA from 1 species
UUCAUUCGGAUGGUCACCAACAAUCUAUUGAAGAAGAGAAGGUUAAGAAUAGCAUAUUCAAGUUGUAGAAAGUUUGUUGAGGGAAUUAAUACUCCCAAGAUGAAAAGAGAUCUCAUGAAGCAGCUUUGGCGAAGUGCAAGGAGUUAGAAGAACAAUUGCAAAGGUUAGACUUCCAUCCAAUAUCAUAUAGUUUGUAAGUACUGAAAUUACGCAUAUUCUGCAUGAUCCGUUCAUUCCUACUUGCAGGCAUGUUCACUACAGUAGUAUUUAUGUUGGUUUGAGUA